rnacentral:rRNA from 1 species
GAUGAACGCUGGCGGCGUGCCUAAUACAUGCAAGUCGAGCGAACGGACGAGAAUCUUGCUUCUCUUAUGUUAUCGGCGGACGGGUGAGUAACACGUGGAUAACCUACCUAUAAGACUGGGAUAAGUUCUGGAAACCGGAACUAAUACCUGAUGAUAUUUUGAACCGCAUGGUUCAGAAGUGAAAGGCGAUCUAGCUGUCACUGAUAGAUGGAUCCGCGCUGCAUUAGCUAGUUGGUAAGGGAAUGGCGUACCAAGGCAACGAUGCAUAGCCGACCUGGGAGGGUGAUCGGCCACACUGGAACUGAGACACGGUCCAGACUCCUACGGGAGGCAGAAGUAGGAGAUCUUCAGAAAUGGGAGAAAGCCUGACGGAGAAACGCCGAGUGAGUGAUGAAGGUCUUCGGAUCCUAAAACUAUGUUAUUUGGGAAGACCAUAUGUGUAAGUAACUGUGAACAUCUUGACGGUACCUAAUCAGAAAGCCACGGCUAACUACGUG